UACAGAGGUCCCGAGCGUUGUUCGGAUUCAUUGGGCGUAAAGGGUGCGUAGGUGGCGCUGUAAGUGGGGUGUGAAAUCCCGGGGCUUAACCCCGGGACUGCAUUCCAUACUGCGGUGCUUGAGGACUGGAGAGGAGACUGGAAUUUACGGUGUAGCAGUGAAAUGCGUAGAGAUCGUAAGGAAGACCAGUGGCGAAGGCGGGUCUCUGGACAGUUCCUGACACUGAGGCACGAAAGCGUGGGGAGCAAACAGG
rnacentral:rRNA from 1 species